UACGAAGGUGGCAAGCGUUGUUCGGAUUUACUGGGCGUACAGGGAGCGUAGGCGGUUGGGUAAGCCCUUCGUGAAAUCUCCGGGCCUAACCCGGAAAGUGCGGAGGGGACUGCUCGGCUAGAGGAUGGGAGAGGAGCGCGGAAUUCCCGGUGUAGCGGUGAAAUGCGCAGAUAUCGGGAGGAACACCCGUAGCGAAGGCGGCACUCUGGGCCGGAACUGACGCUGAGGAGCGAAAGCGUGGGGAGCGAACAGG
rnacentral:rRNA from 1 species